rnacentral:rRNA from 1 species
GACGAACGCUGGCGGCGUGCUUAACACAUGCAAGUCGAACGGUGAAGCGCCUUCCUUUUUGGUGGGUGUGGAUGAGUGGCGAACGGGUGAGUAACACGUGAGUAACCUGCCCCCUUCUUCUGGAUAACCGCAUGAAAGUGUGGCUAAUACGGGAUAUUCUGGGUCUGUCGCAUGAUGGGUCUGGGAAAGAUAUUGUUUCGGUGGGGGAUGGGCUCGCGGCCUAUCAGCUUGUUGGUGGGGUGAUGGCCUACCAAGGCGGUGACGGGUAGCCGGCCUGAGAGGGUGGGCGGUCACACUGGGACUGAGGCACGGCCCAGACUCCUACGAGAGGCAGCAGUGGGGAAUAUUGCACAAUGGGCGCAAGCCUGAUGCAGCGACGCCGCGUGAGGGAUGGAGGCCUGCGGGUUGUGAACCUCUUUCGCCAGUGAAGCAGGCCUGCCUCGUUUGUGGGUGGGUUGACGGUAGCUGGAUAAGAAGCGCCGGCUAACUACGUG